rnacentral:rRNA from 1 species
CGUCCCGGCCAUACCAUCCUGAACGCGCCCAAUCUCGUCUGAUCUCGGAAGCUAAGCAGGGUCGGGUCUGGUUAGUACUUGGAUGGGGGCUGGUCUAAAUAAUCCGCUUGGGUUC